CUAGUAUCAUCCAGCCAUGUACCUCGUAUACCCUUUCAGUCUGGAAAUCCCUGUUUUAUUUUCUAGGAAUUUUUCUUGAAUCACUUUGAUUUUCUAUUUUCUUUUUCUCUCCUUUUCUUUUCUGUUCCUUUCCUUUCUUUUCUUUUCUUUUCCUCUCUCCUCUCCUCUCCUCUCUCCUCUCUCCCCUCUCCCCUCUCCCCUCUUUUCUUUUCUUUUCAAUGGAGUCUCACACUGUUGGCCAGGCUGGAAUACAGUGCAGUGGCAUGAUCUUGGCUGGCUGCAACCUCUGCCUCCCAGGUUCAAGCGAUUCUUCUUGCCUCAGCCUCCCAAGUAGCUGAGAUUACAGGUGCCCACCACCACACCUGGCUAAUUUAUUUGUAUUUUUAGUAGAGAUGGUGUUUCACUAUGUUGGCCAGGCUGGUCUCGAACUUCUGACCUCAUGAUCUGCCCUCCUUGGCUUCCCAAAGUGUUGGGGUUACAGGUGUGAGCCACUGCACCUGGCCUUUUUUCUUUUUUGGAGAUAGUGUCUUCCUCUGACUCCCAGUUUCAAGCGAUUCUUCUGCCU
rnacentral:lncRNA from 1 species